rnacentral:rRNA from 1 species
AUUGAACGCUGGCGGCAGGCCUAACACAUGCAAGUCGAACGAGUGGCGGACGGGUGAGUAAUGUCUGGGAAACUGCCCGAUGGAUGGGGUUAACUACCGGAAACGGUAGCUAAUACCGCAUAGCAGCGGAUGUGCCCAGAUGGGAUUUGCUAGUAGGAGGGGUAACUGCACACAUAGGCGACGAUCCCUAGCUGGUCUGAGAGGAUGACCAGCCACACUGGAACUGAGACACGGUCCAGACUCCUACGGGAGGCAGCAGUGGGGAAUAUUGCACAAUGGGCGAAAGCCUGAUGCAGCCAUGCCGCGUGUAUGAAGAAGGCCUUCGGUUUGUAAAGUACUUUCAGCGAGGAGGCGUUACUCGCAGAAGAAGCACCGGCUAACUCCGUGCCAGCAGCCGCGGUAAUAC